rnacentral:rRNA from 1 species
GAUGAACGCUGGCGGCGUGCCUAAUACAUGCAAGUCGAGCGAACAGACGAGGAGCUUGCUCCUCUGACGUUAGCGGCGGACGGGUGAGUAACACGUGGAUAACCUACCUAUAAGACUGGGAUAACUUCGGGAAACCGGAGCUAAUACCGGAUAAUAUAUUGAACCGCAUGGUUCAAUAGUGAAAGACGGUUUUGCUGUCACUUAUAGAUGGAUCCGCGCCGCAUUAGCUAGUUGGUAAGGUAACGGCUUACCAAGGCAACGAUGCGUAGCCGACCUGAGAGGGUGAUCGGCCACCCUGGAGCUGGACCACCGUCAAGACUCCUACGGGAGGCAGCAGUAGGGAAUCUUCCGCAGUGGGCGAAAGCCUUACGGAGCAACGCCGCGUGAGUGAUGGCGGUCUUCGGAUCGUAAAGCUCUGUUAUUAGGGAAGAACAAAUGUGUAAGUAACUAUGCACGUCUUGACGGUACCUAAUCAGAAAGCCACGGCUAACUACGUG